rnacentral:rRNA from 1 species
UCCUGGCUUAGGAUGAACGCUGGCGGCGUGCUUAACACAUGCAAGUCGAACGAAGCAGCUUCUGCUGCAAGAAGCUGACGUAGUGGCGGACGGGUGAGUAACGCGUGGGUAACCUGCCUCAUACAGGGGGAUAACGAGUUGGAAACGACUGCUAAGACCGCAUAACCCGCUAGUGUCGCAUGACUACGGACGGAAAAUAUUUAUAGGUAUGAGAGUGGGCCCGCGUCUGAUUAGCUAGUUGGUAAGGUAACGGCUUACCAAGGCGACGAUCAGUAGCCGACUUGAGAGAGUGACUCGGCCACAUUGGGACUGAGACACGGCCCAAACUCCUACGGGAGGCAGCAGUGGGGAAUAUUGGACAAUGGGGGAAACCCUGAUCCAGCGAACCGCCGCGUGAGUGAAGAAGUAUUUCGGUAUGUAAAGCUCUAUCAGCAGGGAAGAUAAUGACAGUACCUGACUAAGAAGCCCCGGCUAACUACGUGCCAGCCGCAGC